AUUGAACGCUGGCGGAAUGCUUUACACAUGCAAGUCGAACGGCAGCACGGGGGCAACCCUGGUGGCGAGUGGCGAACGGGUGAGUAAUACAUCGGAACGUGCCCAGUCGUGGGGGAUAACUACGCGAAAGCGUAGCUAAUACCGCAUGAGAUCUGUGGAUGAAAGCGGGGGACCUUUGGGCCUCGCGCGAUUGGAGCGGCCGAUGGCAGAUUAGGUAGUUGGUGGGGUAAAGGCUCACCAAGCCGACGAUCUGUAGCUGGUCUGAGAGGACGACCAGCCAACCUGGGACUGAGACACGGCCCAGACUCCUACGGGAGGCAGCAGUGGGGAAUUUUGGACAAUGGGCGCAAGCCUGAUCCAGCCAUUCCGCGUGCAGGAUGAAGGCCCUCGGGUUGUAAACUGCUUUUGUACGGAACGAAAAGGCUCUGGUUAAUACCUGGAGCUGAUGACGGUACCGUAAGAAUAAGCACCGGCUAACUACGUGCCAGCCGCCGCAGUAAGAC
rnacentral:rRNA from 1 species